ACUAGUCCCUGCACCAUUUAACAUUAUAUUUGUUCUUCUCUCAGUUUCUUUGUCUUGUGUGCACUGAGAAAGAGUGACGAGAUGUUUCAGGCUUGGCUGAAUGCAACUCUAGUGCGAAACCCUGGACUCCGGUUGUCUCUAUUAGGGGAUUUGAAUGUCUCACUGUCUGGUGUUUCAGUCCUUCCACAUGUCUCCAGCUUAGCAGCGCUGCUGGAGCAGGCAAAGGGUCUGACUGAGGGACACCUGACAUUAACAGCAGACCAUGUUGUACAUGGUGUGGAGAUAAGACACGAGAUUUCUAGGUUUAAAGAGGAAGUGAACAGGUCUGAAAGUGUCUGGAUUCGUGUCCUGGCUCAGGAGCAGUCGCUCUGCAUGAACAUUAGCAGGACCUUUAUACAGCAUGGACAUAACGGUCUCCAUGCUCAACUCGCUCACUCAUUUCCUUGGCUGCUCUCAGCAGGACUCCCGUUUACCAGCAGUGCUGUGGUGGAUAUGAAGCGGAGUGAAAGUGGUCUGUCUGCUGAGCUUGCACUCCAUGCUGGAGCCCAAGAGCUGAAGCUCACACUGCAGAGAAGACUGCACAACUCUACAGAAAUUGCUGGGCGCUUACUGGUGAACUGCAUGGGGAGGAUCAGCCUGGACCACCUGCUGAGCUACUGCUACUCAGAGGCCCUGGAUCAGUCGCUGCGGAUGGAGAUGCAGGCUAAUUUGUCAGAUUCCAUCCACAUUAUGUCAGAAAACCAAGGAACCUUGUCAUUGCUACUCAAGAUCUUGGGACACCAUCUAACCUCCAGCACUGGCCUGAUGGUUAAUGUUCACCACAACAUCUCUUCUCUACAACCUUAUAUCCCAUUUGGGUUUGACACCAAGUCACAGCUGAAUCGAUCCGCUUCUUCAAUUAAGGCGGCAGCAGAGUUAGUGAUAGACAAUCAUGUGAUGCGUUUUAAAGGACAGGCUUCACAGACAAAGCUUGGAUUCAAGCAGGCGCUGGAGCUUUACCACUCUUUACCUCAGCUGAUGUCGGUUCCCAGUAGUCUUAUAGUACAGACAGGGUAUGCUGGGCACAACGGAUCACAUGUCCUCACACACCACACACAGUGGAGGGAUGAAAACACAACUGCACCUAAGGGGUUACAACAAUGGAAAUCGAGACAGAUAGAUGAGUUUGGGCCUGAGUCUCGGGGAUGGGAGCUGGAAGUGAGGCUUGAGAAUGAAACUCAGAGCAAACGUGGAAAUGUUCUCAUUGACUGGAAUCUGAUAGGAGUACAGGAGCAGAUACAAGCUACAGGUUCUUGGAACUCUGCAGGAAGACAAACUGAGGCCAUGCUCCAGCUCAAACAACCUUUUACGUCCACUCUCUCCCACUUGAAAGUGCAAGUGCUCUCACGUGACCACGCACAAGGACAUGGCAGGAACAAUCAGGUCCAUCUGUCCUGGGACUACGGGACGCCCGUGAAUGUCUCUGUGACAGUCAGUAACCGGAGCCAUGCUGAGGACUACAGCAUGACGCAGGCUUGUGUUUUUGUGUCACCUGGACAGAUGCGGUCAGUUCUCCCUCUUGUGGAGGCCCACGGCUGCGUCUUGAUGGCUCAAGAAGGAAAAUUUUCCUACUCCCAAAGUACAGAACUCAAGUGGGGUGACAAGAGAAUUACGCAAAGCAUGAAAUAUCAGAAAGCUGACAGAGGAAUGCACACUGUCCAGAUGGAAGCUUCAGCCCAGAACAUCUCGCCUGGCCCAUGUUCUUCUCAUACACUCCUGGCUCAGAUACAUUCUAACCUCAAAGACGUCCUGGAACACCAUAGCCUUCUGGGGCUUUGUCCUCCACAACCAGCUCUAUCUUGGUCUGGUUCUCAUAGAGUGAACUCAGGGAAGGACUUGCUCUACAGCCAUACCAGCGUAUCGCUAUCUGGUCAGACCCAGCACAGCACACUUGUUUUGGCGGUCAGGAACAGCAGCAGCGCCCAACGCAGUCACUUCUCCCUGCUCACUGAGUGGACAAUGGGAAACUGGAGCGUUGAGUUGGGAGGAAGCGUACACUCCGCAAGCAGGAGCUCGGCGCUGCAGGUUCAGGCGAAACUUGACCGUAGUGAGCUCAUCUGGCUGCAGACCACACUGGGAAAGCGCUGCUUACAAGCUGCUGCUGGAUAUGAUGGUGAUUCAUCUGAUGACCUACGGACGACCCUCUGCUUGGAGGGAAACCAUUGGCUAACUUUCAAGACCCAAAAAGGAGGCAGUGGCAUUGAGAACGAGACAUUAGCGCUAAUCUCCAUGGGAGUGGCCGAUCGUGGCCUGGUGUUUCGUGCCAAGGGAUGCGAGGUGUGCUUAGCAGCGACAGAGGCACGGCUGCAGCAGUUAGGCACUCACGUGAAGAGGAAGCUGCUUCAGAGAGUCCAAAGGCUGCACCAUCUUCUUCUGGAGUUCAGGAGACAGGCCGGAGGAAACGAGCCGAUGCAGGAGCUGAGCCACGCAAUCCUGUAUGUGACCCACCAAGCUGAAAACCUGCUGCUGCAGAGAGCACCAAUGCCGUGGGACCUCUGGACGUCUGGGUCCAUCCGUCACACGCUCAUGCACAGCCUGCCCCGAACACUCCAAAUUCUACAGCACAUGUCUCAACUUGUCCAGCAAGAGCUCAAAAAGCCACUGGCCACGCUGGCCGGAGCGUACCAUGACGUUACAGGAGAGCGUCUGGACAUGAUGUGGCAUGGCUUACUGGACCUGUGGAGCCGAGACCUGGGGCAGAUGCUGCCUGCAAUUCUACAUAAUCACCACCUGAGGACACCAUCUAUAACUGCUCUCCGCACUGCCAUCACCGCACUGGACCUGGUCAUGCAGCACACAGUCCAGUGGGCUGAAUCCAGAUUGGCCAUGAUGUUAGUAGGAUUUAGAAGACAGCUUGCUUUCAUGUACAAGUUCUCUGAAAGGGAUGGGGAAGUGACGGUGAGUCUUCCUCUUCUGCGUAAUCCAUGGACAAAGCGGUCAGUGGUCGGCAUAGCAGAAGUCAUGGUGGAGGAGUUCCUCAUAAAGCCUCUCCUCUCACUGAACUCAGCCAGUAUCACAGCUGAGCUCUAUAGGCUUAAGAGGAAACUGAUGGAUAGUCCUUUCAAUCGUGAGUCUCAGAAUUUCAUUUCAUGAUUACUAUAACACCUGAAAAAACAGAACAGCCAAUAUGUCUUGUUAUCAUCUCAAUUAUAAUUUACAAACCCCUUCCCUUGGUUAGGGAUCUUCCAGAAUGUUCAUGUAUAGAUGGGAGUGUAUGAAUUCCAUAAAAAUAAAUUCAAGGACAACUCUUACUGUGACAUAUACAAGUAUAAUACUGUGAAACUCUUUUCUUUGCAUAUCCUAGCUUGGGGUCGUAGUGCAGGGUCAGCCAUGGGGCAGAGAGGGCUUAAGGCCUAGCUCAAGGGCCCAACAGGGGCAGCUUGGAGAUGCUAGGACUUGAACUCACAACCUUCUGAUCAGUAUACCAGAGCCUUAACCACAGAACAACCACAGGACACUAACCACAGAAUAAUCUCUGGUAGUCACAUUACUACUCAAAGGCCAUCAUCAGAAACUAUACAGAUCUACACUUUUUCUUACACCUAGGAUUUCCAUUAGCCCUACAAUAAAUAUUGACUGGUCCAUCUACACAGUGACUGGAUUUCACAUCAUGCAAUGUGUCUAUCUGCCCGAGUAUCCUCUUCUUUCCUUCCACUGAUUUCCUUCCUUAUUGUUCAAGUUGCCCCUAGGAGCCGCAACAUUCACCAAGCAUGACCUCUUCACGUUCUUCCACCUGUUCUGCAUCUGAGAAGGAAAUUAAUAGAAGACUACAUUUAUCACUGGUCAAUAUGAUGUCUGGAUAAUGCUUUUUGAAUGAAACAAUGCCCCAGCAUACUCCAAGCCCUCAGCAAUGCCUCUCACCUCAGUGAAAUAUUACUUAAUCACUUUCUGUACCUGAUUUAUCCUGGUCAGGAUCAUGGUGGAUCCCAAGACUAUCCCAGGAACACUGGGUGUGUGGCAGGAAUACACCCUGGAUGGGACACUUGUCCAACCAGGGCACUAUAUACAUAACAUUCACACACUUACUUGAUCCUAUGUUCAAUUUAUGUUAGUAAUUCCACCUACUAGUUUGUUUUUAGGGAAGUGGGAUGAAACUAGGAAACCUAGAGCAAACCCACACGGACAUAGGGAGAACAUGUGAAUCUCCACACAGGCAGUAACCCGAACUCUGUAUUGAACCAGGAACCAAACCUGGGCGUCACUCACUGAGCAUAUCUGCCAUGCCUGAGAAGAGCAUUACCCCCAUUUAGAACUGUCUGUAAGUCAAACCAGACACACAUGAGGUUUGCUUCUUGUAGUUAAUCAUCUCUAAGUGUCCAGAUGCAUCCUUGGAAGACUCAAUAUUCCAAACUACCACCUAUCCAUCCAUCUUUCACAGAAAACUUAUUGUAAAUUUAGCAGUUAAGCAGCACCUUUCACUGCUCUGGUUAAUAAAUCCCACAAACAACAUACUCCUGAAGACAUUCCUUUCAAACCCAAGCAGCAUUUCAGUUUGGGCAUAAUGUAUAAGGUCUAUCAUAAUCCAAUGCUUCCUAACAAUGUAAACAAGGAUGCAUGUAUGGGGUUAGUAGAGGUGCUGCCUCAGGGUCAUCCCUGUGCUUUUUAUUCAUCAUCUUUCCACUACACAGAGAAGCUAUUAGUAGCAAUUAACUGCUGGCUAUUAAACAAGCCAUGGAAUAAUGAACAGCUGUUGGACCUAAACAAACCUAAACAACGUUGUCUUCAACAAGAAUGUACCAGAUGGCCUUUCCAAACAGUUUAAACCUUCAGAGCCAGAAAACUAACUUGGCAACACUGUCCCUAGUUCCUAAAUUAUGAUUUCAUCUUUGAUUGGGCAUAGAGGCCAUGGACCAGUAGGCAGCACAACAGAGAAACUGGUCCCACUGCCCAUAGUCCAAUAAUUUAAGAGACAACAGAAAUUAUCACCAUUCUUUUGCUGGAUGAAGAAUAUUCUGAAAAAGAUUAAAUCAAUCUGUCAAAUCAACAUUGUAUCGGUAUAGUGCUUUUCAUACAGGUUUGCACUUCAAAGAGAUUUCCUUUCCCUUGACUCUUGGGAAGGGAUUUAGAGAACAUUCAGCAAGUAUAUCAGUCAACAUCUCUUUUCAUCCUGAAUCCCAUAGCCAUACUGAGAGAAUCAAUUAAGGUAUGAAAACAAUCCUAUACUACAUAGCUUUGAUAAAUCAUUCCUCUUUUAGCAGUCACACCGUAUGAGCUGAGAAUUUACAACACGCUUUAUUCUCAUCCUUUCAAGUGUCAGCCUUGACUUUUUCAGGACCAGGAAGAUGAGAUCAAGCAUUUCUUGUGGCAGAUGGAUUCAUCGUGUCAUUUGAUGGACGAGUGUUAAAAAUACCACGUUCCUGUGACCUUGUAUUAGC